rnacentral:rRNA from 1 species
AACGUAGGAGGCGAGCGUUAUCCGGAUUUACUGGGCGUAAAGCGCGCGCAGGCGGCUUCGUGAGUCGGAUGUGAAAGCUCCUGGCUUAACUAGGAGAGGCCAUUCGAUACUGCGAGGCUUGAGGUUGGGAGAGGGGUGCGGAAUUCCCGGUGUAGUGGUGGAAUGCGUAGAUAUCGGGAGGAACACCUGUGGCGAAAGCGGCACCCUGGCCCACACCUGACGCUGAGGUGCGAAAGCGUGGGUAGCAAACAGG